rnacentral:rRNA from 1 species
GACGAACGCUGGCGGCGUGCCUAAUACAUGCAAGUCGAGCGGACCCUUCGGGGUCAGCGGCGGACGGGUGAGUAACACGUGGGUAAUCUGCCCAACUGACUGGAAUAACGCCUGGAAACGGGUGCUAAUGCCGGAUAGGCAACUGGUAGGCAUCUACCGGUUGGGAAAGGUGCAACUGCACCGCAGAUGGAGGAGCCCGCGGCGCAUUAGCUAGUUGGUGGGGUAACGGCCUACCAAGGCGACGAUGCGUAGCCGACCCUGAGAGGGUGGACGGCCACACUGGGACUGAGACACGGCCCAGACUCCUACGGGAGGCAGCAGUAGGGAAUCUUCCGCAAUGGGCGCAAGCCUGACGGAGCAACGCCGCGUGAGCGAAGAAGGCCUUCGGGUUGUAAAGCCCAGUCACUCGGGAAGAGCGGACGAGGGAGUGGAAAGCCCUCGUCGAGACGGUACCGAGAGAGGAAGCCCCGGCUAACUACGUG